rnacentral:rRNA from 1 species
AGAGUUUGAUCCUGGCUCAGAUUGAACGCUGGCGGCAGGCUUAACACAUGCAAGUCGAGCGGAGCGAAGGUGCUUGCACCUUAGCUUAGCGGCGGACGGGUGAGUAAUGCUUAGGAAUCUGCCUAUUAGUGGGGGACAACGUUUCGAAAGGAACGCUAAUACCGCAUACGUCCUACGGGAGAAAGCAGGGGAUCUUCGGACCUUGUGCUAAUAGAUGAGCCUAAGUCGGAUUAGCUAGUUGGUGGGGUAAAGGCCUACCAAGGCGACGAUCUGUAGCGGGUCUGAGAGGAUGAUCCGCCACACUGGGACUGAGACACGGCCCAGACUCCUACGGGAGGCAGCAGUGGGGAAUAUUGGACAAUGGGCGAAAGCCUGAUCCAGCCAUGCCGCGUGUGUGAAGAAGGCCUUUUGGUUGUAAAGCACUUUAAGCGAGGAGGAGGAGCUUCAGGUUAAUACCCUGGAUGCUUGGACGUUACUCGCAGAAUAAGCACCGGCUAACUCUGUGCCAGCAGCCGCGGUAAUACAGAGGGUGCAAGCGUUAAUCGGAUUUACUGGGCGUAAAGCGUGCGUAGGCGGCUAAUUAAGUCAAAUGUGAAAUCCCCGAGCUUAACUUGGGAAUUGCAUUCGAUACUGGUUAGCUAGAGUAUGGGAGAGGAUGGUAGAAUUCCAGGUGUAGCGGUGAAUGCGUAGAGAUCUGGAGGAAUACCGAUGGCGAAGGCAGCCAUCUGGCCUAAUACUGACGCUGAGGUACGAAAGCAUGGGGAGCAAACAGGAUUAGAUACCCUGGUAGUCCAUGCCGU